rnacentral:rRNA from 1 species
AUUGAACGCUGGCGGCAUGCUUUACACAUGCAAGUCGAACGGUAACAGGCCGCAAGGUGCUGACGAGUGGCGAACGGGUGAGUAAUGCAUCGGAACGUGCCCAGUCGUGGGGGAUAACGCAGCGAAAGCUGCGCUAAUACCGCAUACGAUCUAUGGAUGAAAGCGGGGGACCGUAAGGCCUCGCGCGAUUGGAGCGGCCGAUGUCAGAUUAGGGAGUUGGUGGGGUAAAGGCUCACCAAGCCAACGAUCUGUAGCUGGUCUGAGAGGACGACCAGCCACACUGGGACUGAGACACGGCCCAGACUCCUACGGGAGGCAGCAGUGGGGAAUUUUGGACAAUGGGCGCAAGCCUGAUCCAGCAAUGCCGCGUGCAGGAAGAAGGCCUUCGGGUUGUAAACUGCUUUUGUACGGAACGAAACGGUCCUGGUUAAUACCCGGGGCUAAUGACGGUACCGUAAGAAUAAGCACCGGCUAACUUCGUGCCAGCAGCCGCCGUAACAC